CCUACGGGGGGCAGCAGUGAGGAAUAUUGGUCAAUGGGCGUGAGCCUGAACCAGCCAAGUAGCGUGAAGGAUGACUGCCCUAUGGGUUGUAAACUUCUUUUAUAAAGGAAUAAAGUGAGGCACGUGUGCCUUUUUGCAUGUACUCUAUGAAUAAGCAUCGGCUAACUCCGUGCCAGCAGCCGCGGUAAUACGGAGGAUCCGAGCGUUAUCCGGAUUUAUUGGGUUUAAAGGGAGCGUAGAUGGUUUGUUAAGUCAGUGGUGAAAGUUUGGGGCUCAACCGUAAAAUUGUAGUUGAAACUGGCAGUCUUGAGUGCAGUUGAGGUAGGCGGAAUUCGUGGUGUAGCGGUGAAAUGCAUAGAUAUCACGAAGAACUCCGAUUGCGAAGGCAGCUUACUAAGCUGUAACUGACAUUGAUGCUCGAAAGUGUGGGUAUCAAACAGGAUUAGAUACCCGUGUAGUC
rnacentral:rRNA from 1 species